UCCCCUUCAGAGAGAGUCAGAACAGCCCCAUGUUGUGACCAGGCCAGAGCUCAGGCUAGCCAGGGAAGCAGCUGUUACCAGGGUGGCGGGGUCAGCAAGCAAGACGCCUAAUCAGUGGGUGGGAGAGUGCGCCUGGGUCCCACCCAGAGGCUCCUUCCCAUUUCCGGGGCUGCCCGAGACCUAGCAGCACUCGCAGCGUCGGUGACUGCAGUGUCUGUCCGCUGGGAAGUAAGAGGAGGACAAUUCUAGGGAGUGGUCCAGGCGGCUCCCGCACUCCGUCGUGGAUGAUCUGGUUCCCACAGACGGCAGACACAGGUUCCGAGUUCAACUCCCCACUGAGUCGGGGACUUCUACUGAUACUGAAUGCUCACUAGAUGUAAAGCAACAGAAACAGCGAUGAUGGCGUGGUCUGGCAUUGUGCUAGCCACUGUAGCGAGAGAGAAGACGUGGCCACCAUCUUCGUGGACUUUGCAGCAUGGUGGACGAAAGACUUCCUGCAACUUCCUUCGAAGUCCUGCUGUCUCCUCCAGUUUCAUCUUCUAGCCCAUGAGCUCAUGAGUUUGCAUGAUUUCAGUAUGAAGUCAUCAGUUCGUCCCCGGCCUCCUGGACAGGCUUUAAAACCUCAAGAUUGUUUGGAUAAAGUAGAGCAUAUGCACCUGCCCUCUCAGAGAAGAAGGCCAGAAGGAGUCCUGGAGGAGCCAAACGGUCAAAGCUCACAAUAUACUAGAGCCCUCUGUUUUACAAAGCGUCAUGUACGUCCACAGUGGGAGGUGAAGCAACACUGGGAUUCUGGCGGGAGGAGAACAGAAAAUUCCACCCUAAGACAAUUGUGUAAAGAAUUGAAAACGGUGUGUAUGUCAAGGAGCCAUUUAUAGAGUCAACAUGCUGAAACCAAGCCAGAAUGUGUAGGCCUGGAAUUCUGGAAUGUGUAUUUUCUGAACAUUCCUGAUUUCCAAAGUCAUAGCCAACAACAAAAAUCACAUUGUGGCACCAGAGUCUCCAUUCUUUCUCGUGGACCCAUGGGUUUUCUCUGAGCAGAGAGCAUGAAAGAUUUGAUUUUUUAAAACACUCACACCAAGACUGUCAUGAAGUUUGAAUUAUAAAUUAUUAAAUUAUAGUUUGAAUAAAAAAAACUAUCUGAUCAGAUGUAGAAAUCCACUUAACUCCAUCUAAUUCGAUUCAAAGAAGUAUUAUUAACUGAGUCUCUAUUAUAUUCCCAGUGCUGAAUGAAGUUGAGGAACUACAAGAGAACUAUAUGAAAUAAUUCUUUUUCUCAAAGAGUAAGAGAGGCAAAGAUUAAAUAUGUGAGGUAAUUAGAGAGCAAAGCAAGGGGCCACAAUCUGAGGCACAUUGCAGCCAUUGAACCUGGUAGGCACUGAAUGAUAGAAAAAACAGGAAGGUAAACAGGCAAAAAAAUAUUAAUUAGAGACGAAGUCCUUCAAAUGGUCCUUGAUGUUUGGGUAGGGCUUGGGAGGUUUCUGGUCUAAUGCUAAUGUAGGCAACUUUGUUCUGAAAGGAGCAAAAUCUAAAUAUAACUUGUCCCAAGGAGAAUUUGGGAAAUGAUCAAGCAGAAAAGAACGAGAGACUCAGUACCUGUUCUUUGGAUAGACUUGGUCUGUUCCAAGGUCUGAAAGCCCCCAAGACCUUAAACCCAGUGGAAAAGCUGGAAGGGAAGCCAGUGUGGGUAAUUAGCCACGGCAGAGAGCCGGGUCUCACAUCUUAACCACUUUAUCUUUGCUUUCUGCCUGUGCCCGGAGGAGAUACUGUCAGGAAGAGUAUGAGAGUCAAGGAUGAAGAAGGAGAAAAAACUAGCAGUGGGAGGUGAACAGUGUAUGAGAAGACUGGGUGAUGUAAAUCCUAAGAUAAACUAACUCCCUCACUACUUUAUGUGCAUGAAAAUGUCCAAAAUGGAAUGAAUUGCCUCUGACAUUUUCUUCCAAAUCUGAUCAUCUUUUUAU